rnacentral:rRNA from 1 species
GAUGAACGCUGGCGGCGUGCUUAACACAUGCAAGUCGAACGAUGAAGCCCAGCUUGCUGGGUGGAUUAGUGGCGAACGGGCGAGUAACACGUGAGUAACCUGCCCCUAACUCUGGGAUAAGCCUGGGAAACUGGGUCUAAUACCGGAUAGGAGCGUCCACCGCAUGGUGGGUGUUGGAAAGAUUUAUCGGUUUUGGAUAGACUCGCGGCCUAUCAGCUUGUUGGUGAGGUAAUGGCUCACCAAGGCGACGACGGGUAGCCGGCCUGAGAGGGUGACCGGCCACACUGGGACUGAGACACGGCCCAGACUCCUACGGGAGGCAGCAGUGGGGAAUAUUGCACAAUGGGCGCAAGCCUGAUGCAGCGACGCCGCGUGAGGGAUGACGGCCUUCGGGUUGUAAACCUCUUUCAGUAGGGAAGAAGCGAAAGUGACGGUACCUGCAGAAGAAGCACCGGCUAACUACGUG